GGUUUAGAUGCAGAGAAGGGUUUGGGGCCACUUCGUAUCAGACCACUCUGAGCCUUCAAGGCAGGGUUCUUGUGAGUCUUCAUGUCAUCAGAUACGUGUUUCAGGGCAUGUAUGAUGCUCUCCCCCUGAUUAAUCUGCGCAAACAGUGCUGAGCGUGAAGCAGAGUCAUCUGAGCCUGAACUGGCCCCGUUCUGCUCCAGGCCAGUCCGGUGGUAUGGAACUCCUUAAUGUAAGCCUGCAGCUCUGUCCAUAUACUCAAAGACCAGGCUUGGGAGCCAUAGCCACCCAACCCAGGGCCUGGAUACUUUCGCUGACAGCUGACAGGUGAUUGAACAACUUGCUGCCUCGGUUCUUCUCCCGGAAGGUCACCACUUCUUGGAUCUGCUCGGAGAUGGGUGCCAACAAGUCAGAAAGUUUGUUGCCUGCUGGCUGCUGGCACUGAGAGGCUGUAACCAAGAGAGCUCGCUCUAACUUCAGACCUGUGUGGACCAUCUCCGCAUGUUUCUGCACAUCUCCCCCACUCUCUUUACUGAUCUUGAGGUACUCUGCCACAGGACCGGCCAGCAGUGAGUCAAAUGCUUGCACAUAUGGAGUCGUUCCUUUUGCAGCACUGUCUCCAUACCCACAGUGUGUGUCAGAGGCAUGGGAGACUGCCUCCAGGCGGCCCACCACUCUCUCCAAUCUUUCUACCAGAUUUCGCAUGUCAGCCAUAAUGUACCACCUCAGACUUCUGUCUCACCUCCGGACCGCGAUUGGCCUCUCUCUACUUCCGGCAAGAACCGCCCAGCAACCUUUGCGCCUAUACAUACCCAUUUUUUUAAAAGGAGUAUCUUUUAAGCUAAGUGAAACCCUCACGCUGGAAUUCACCUUGGCUGACAGAUGUUUGCGCCACCAGGAAGGACCCAAGUCCGACCACAUACGGGCAACUAGCAAGAUGAUUGGCCAAAGACAACCAGGAAAACUGAUGCCAUUGCCAUAAAACCUGAGGCUGUGAGCCACAUGGCAGAGCAGUUCUCCUGGGUUCCCUUAACCUGCCCUUCUCCACCUGGGUACCCCUUUCCAAUAAAGUCUUGGGCUUUGUCACGUCAGUACGUGUGUCUCCUUGGACAAUUCAUUUCUGACUAUUAGACAAGAGCCCACUCUCGGGUCCUAAAG
ensembl:lncRNA